AGCAGCCGCGGUAAUUCCAGCUCCAAUAGCGUAUAUUAAAGUUGUUGCAGUUAAAAAGCUCGUAGUUGAAUUUCGGGGUUAGUAGGUUGGUCGUGCCACUGGUAUGUACUGGCUUUACUGAUUCCUCCUUCUUGACGAACUGUGAUGCCAUUAAUUUGGUGUUGCAGGGAAUCAGGACUGUUACUUUGAAAAAAUUAGAGUGUUUAAAGCAGGCUAGCGCUUGAAUACAUUAGCAUGGAAUAAUGGAAUAGGACGUUGAUCCUACCUUGUUGGUUUCUAGGGUUGACGUAAUGAUUAAUAGGGAUAGUUGGGGGCAUUAGUAUUCAAUUGUCAGAGGUGAAAUUCUUGGAUUUAUUGAAGACUGACUACUGCGAAAGCAUUUGCCAAGGAUGUUUUCAUUAAUCAAGAACGAAAGUUAGGGGAUCGAAGACGAUCAGAUACCGUCGUAGUCUUAACCAUAAACUAUGCCGACUAGGGAUCGGACGAUGUUAAUUUUAUAAUGACUCG
rnacentral:rRNA from 1 species